rnacentral:rRNA from 1 species
ACGAAAGGCGUAACGAUUUGGGCACUGUCUCAACGAGAGACUCGGUGAAAUCAUAGUACCUGUGAAGAUGCAGGUUACCCGCGACAGGACGGAAAGACCCCGUGGAGCUUUACUGUAGCCUGAUAUUGAAAUUCGGCACAGCUUGUACAGGAUAGGUAGGAGCCUUUGAAACGUGAGCGCUAGCUUACGUGGAGGCGCUGGUGGGAUACUACCCUAGCUGUGUUGGCUUUCUAACCCGCACCACUUAUCGUGGUGGGAGACAGUGUCAGGCGGGCAGUUUGACUGGGGCGGUCGCCUCCUAAAAGGUAACGGAGGCGCUCAAAGGUUCCCUCAGAAUGGUUGGAAAUCAUUCAUAGAGUGUAAAGGCAUAAGGGAGCUUGACUGCGAGACCUACAAGUCGAGCAGGGUCGAAAGACGGACUUAGUGAUCCGGUGGUUCCGCAUGGAAGGGCCAUCGCUCAACGGAUAAAAGCUACCCCGGGGAUAACAGGCUUAUCUCCCCCAAGAGUUCACAUCGACGGGGAGGUUUGGCACCUCGAUGUCGGC